rnacentral:lncRNA from 1 species
GUUUGCCCAUUUACAGAGUCCUGUUCAGAGGUUUUUAGUCUAUUCUCAGUUGUGACACACUGUCACCAAAUUUAAUGAUAUUUCUUUGUUUUUUAAAGUCUAGAUCAAUGAAAAUGGCCCAUUGGAAUGAAAUUACCUAAGAGCUGACAUCAAACAGAAAAGAAGCAGAGAAAAGGGCUCUCAAUGAGUCACAAAUACAUAAACAAGAUUGCACUGUGCAAGAUAUAAAGGUCAUUGUGAGUCUACUGAGAGCCAACAAACUUCCUUCUGAUCCUGAUGUCAUCCCCUGGAAACUGACGUUAGCACAACCUACAAUGUUGGGUUCUCCUUCCCUUCCUGUGUGCAUGUGGGCUAAGUUGCUCCAGUCGU